GAGCUGGCAGAAUCGUUAGCACGCCUGACAAAAUGCAAAACACCAUUUCUUCUCGUUUUACGUUCUGAGUUCAAAUUCCGCCGAGGUCGACUUUGCCUUUC